UCACAUCUCCAAUAAUUUGGUUAGUUUUUUUAGUUUUUAAAAAAAAGUGGUGUUGCCGCGAUCGGAUCGGAUUCCGCACUACCUGGACUAACUGGUGCCCAGCAACGAGCAACGUAACCUUUGACCGCACGCCCUCCCCCCCCAGUGAAAUGUCGCUGAAUCCGCAGUACGAGGACAUCGGCAAGGGAUUUGUGCAGCAGUACUAUGCGAUAUUCGAUGACCCGGCGAAUCGGGCGAACGUGGUCAACUUCUACAGCGCUACCGACUCCUUCAUGACCUUCGAAGGUCACCAAAUACAGGGUGCACCCAAGAUCCUCGAGAAAGUUCAGAGUCUGAGUUUUCAGAAGAUCACCCGAGUGAUAACCACAGUGGAUUCGCAGCCCACAUUCGACGGCGGAGUGCUGAUUAAUGUCCUCGGACGGCUACAGACCGAUGAGGAUCAGCCGCAUGCCUACAUUCAGACCUUCGUUUUGAAGCCGGUGGGGGGCAGUUUCUUCGUACAGCACGAUAUAUUCCGGCUCUCGCUGCACGAUGUGUAGCCCCACCGCCCACGAUUUGCCACGCCCAGUCAACAGGCUCUAUAUACAAAUCGAGAUCCCGACCGAGACAAGCAGCCCAAUCAGCCCGAUCAGCCUCAGCCAGCAGCGACGAGACGAGACCCAGUUAAAAAGCGAAAGAAAACUAUAUCAAAGCGAUAAGAUAGUUCUGCUGUUUGUCGACCUUCUGCCGCCCAGCCCCGCCCACUCCGCCCACAAGCAAAAAGUCCAACUUCUUCCAAUUGUCCUCACAUGCGACGACGAUCCCCCGCACGCCUUCUCGCAGGUCUUCGUCCUGAAGGCCAACGCCGGCACCUUCUUCGUGGCCCACGACAUCUUCCGCCUGAACAUCCACAACUCUGCCUAGGAGCCCCCCACUCCGCUGGAAGUGUGUCCAAACUAUUUAUCCGCACCACUAAGCAACACACACACACACACACACACUCAACCGACAUCCAAAGAUGCCCGGCCCCCAACGACAUCAACUGGCCGGCAGUGGAACUCAAUAGAAAAAUAAAACUAACAAUGCAAAGCAGUAGCAGCAGCAGCAGCAGCGGUCUCACGUUUAUCAACAGAUGAAAAAAGCAACAGAAAUGGAUGAAAAAACACACAGUAAAAAGAAGAAAUUAAAUUGUAACUACUAUUACGAUGUAAACAAAAUGGGCCACCAGCUCACCCAUUCUUGUGUCCCAAUGCGCCCGGUACUCUCGAUUUGCGGGGCCCCAUCGAAUUGUAUGUUCCGCGAACACCUGGAUCUCGGGAUCUAAUUUAGCUAGGGCUAUCAAAUUUGGCAUGUGGUCUGCUACGAGCUUGCUUUUCAUUUUCCCAGGAAAAUAAUCAAAAACCGCUAGCAACUACCUGCCUUAAAAUUGAUUGUUUGCUUACAUAUUUCCCAUAGAUUCUAUACACUUUCAAUUGAGUCUUAUUCGAUUAUGUACUGUAAUUAUUGAAAUACAUUUAGAUAGCCGUAUUGCAAUGUUUUGUAUCGAAUACCCACUUCUUAAACAGUGGUCUGAGUACCGGGACUAUUACAUGGUCGAGAAUAUCGACUCUAGCUUUCUUGUAUGACUAAUUGAGUGAUGGCGAAUUACUUUUUAUUGAGACAAAAAAAAAAAAAAGAACACUUAAAUAUAAAGAUUAACGUUAGCA